rnacentral:rRNA from 1 species
CACACCGCCCGUCACACCAUGGGAGUUGGUUUCACCCGAAGGCAGUGCGCUAACCGCAAGGAGGCAGCUGACCACGGUGGGAUCGGCGACUGGGGUG